rnacentral:rRNA from 1 species
GAAACCGGAGCUAAUACCGCAUAAGCCCUACGGGGGAAAGCAGGGGAUCUUCGGACCUUGCGCUAUUGGAUGAGCCUAAGUCGGAUUAGCUUGUUGGUGGGGUAACGGCCUACCAAGGCGACGAUCCGUAGCUGGUCUGAGAGGAUGAUCAGCCACACUGGGACUGAGACACGGCCCAGACUCCUACGGGAGGCAGCAGUNGGGAAUAUUGGACAAUGGGGGCAACCCUGAUCCAGCAAUGCCGCGUGUGUGAAGAAGGCCUGCGGGUUGUAAAGCACUUUCAGUAGCGAGGAAAAGCUUAAGGAUAAUACCCUUGAGUCUUGACGUUAACUACAGAAGAAGCACCGGCUAACUCUGUGCCAGCAGCCGCGGUAAUACAGAGGGUGCAAGCGUUAAUCGGAAUUACUGGGCGUAAAGCGCGCGUAGGCGGGUUUGAUCANUCGGAUGUGAAAGCCCUGGGCUCAACCUGGGAAACUGCAUUCGAUACUGGUCAAC